AUAAUGAUACUCCCGUCCAGUCACAGCCCUGCAGGGAAGCAGGAUCACGCAAUGAGGGCGGCUCUGUGAGAACCACAGAGGGGUUAGGUUCCCGUG
rnacentral:ncRNA from 1 species